CUAUCUUCACAUUUAACAAGAAAGAGUAUUUGGAAAGGAAGACUGAAGAUGAAGAUUUGAGAUGAAUGAUAGAGAAGUUUUGGGAAGAACGUUGAGUUUUUUAAAGUGAUAUAGUUGGUGUUUUUAUUUUAUGUUGUAUAUGUGAUGGUAGUAGGACAACCUUGCAUUGAACAUGUAUGGUAAAUUUCGUGAGAGAGGUAUUAUUAAAGUGACACAAAUUAAGGUGUACCCAAAAAAAAGUGACACAAUUUCUUCUUGACAUAGUAAUACUUAGAGUUCGAUUAACUUGUUUGAAUUUAUCUUUGGCAUAGACAUUUAUAUUAAUGUUUGAGAAAAAUUUAUAAAAUAAGUUAUGACAAGUUUAUAAACAAUUUUCACAAGUUCUUUAAAUUAGCUUUAUGAAAACAGCUUUGGCGUACAGAUUCCAAACAUACACUCAAUAAGUUACUCUUAUAUAUAGAAAUGCGUUGGUAUAUACUAGAUUCUAUGAUAACAUUUCAAUGCUUGCAUCGAAUCUAUUUUUUAUUCAUUGAUAUAGCAAACAAUCCAUAUAUAUAUAUAACAAAUUAAAAGAAUUAAUAUAUAUUCACCAAAAUGUUUUCGUAAUUUUCCUAGGAGGCUAGCUAGCA
rnacentral:lncRNA from 1 species